rnacentral:rRNA from 1 species
UACGGGGGGAGCAAGCGUUGUUCGGAUUUACUGGGCGUAAAGGGCGCGUAGGCGGCCAGCACAAGUCAGUUGUGAAAUCUCCGAGCUUAACUCGGAACGGUCAACUGAUACUGUGCGGCUAGAGUGCGGAAGGGGCAACUGGAAUUCUUGGUGUAGCGGUGAAAUGCGUAGAUAUCAAGAGGAACACCUGCGGCGAAGGCGGGUUGCUGGGCCGACACUGACGCUGAGGCGCGAAAGCUAGGGGAGCGAACGGG